rfam:Dickeya dadantii 3937, complete genome.
ACUGCUUUUCUUUGAUAUCCCUGAAUUGAGGAGCCCGUCGUUCACGCCGGUUAGGUUCAAGAACGACGGGCAUUUUCUU